GACGAACGCUGGCGGCGUGCCUAACACAUGCAAGUCGAACGGAAAGGCCCGGCUUUUGUGGGUUUGUCGAUUGGCGAGCGGGGGAGUAACACGUGAGUAACCUGUCCCUGUCUGAGGGAUAUCUUCAGGCAACAGGGGCUAUUAUCGCAGAGGAUCUAUUGCUGCAUGGUGGGGGUUGGUAAGAUUCGGCGGUUGGGGCUGUAAUGGCUGGUUAUCAGCUUGAUUGGCUGGUUGUGGCUUACCAAGGCUUUGACGGGUAGCCGGCCUGAGAGGGGUGCCGGCCACAAUGGGCCUGAGAUAGGCCCCAGACUGCAACGGGAGGCAGCAGUGGAGAGUAUUGCACAGUGGGCGGGCGCCAGAUGCGACAACGCCGCGUGCGGGAAGCCGGCCUUCGGGUUGUAAACCACUGUGGAAUGAGACGAGGCGGGAGUGACGGUAAUGGGUAAAGAAGCACCGGCUAACUACGUG
rnacentral:rRNA from 1 species